UACGUAGGGUGCGAGCGUUAAUCGGAAUUACUGGGCAUAAAGCGUGCGUAGGCGGUUCUCCAAGUCCGUUGUGAAAGCCCCGGGCUCAACCUGGGAAUGGCAGUGGAAACUAGGGGACUGGAAUCUGGCAGAGGGGGGUGGAAUGCCGCGUGUAGCAGUGAAAUGCGUAGAGAUGCGGCGGAACACCGAUGGCGAAGGCACUCUGCUGGGCCGACACUGACACUGAGAGACGAAAGCUAGGGGAGCGAAUGGG
rnacentral:rRNA from 1 species